UGAUGACUUAGUGGUUCAAAGGUCAGUUCACCAAGAAGCUAAAGCUGGCUAAAACAGACUUUCUUUUCUUCUUUGUCUUCCUCUUUUGCAGACCUCCGGGAAUGUGAGGAACCAGAAAUUUUCUAAGAGCUCAGUGUGGAUAUCUGCCAAAUAUCCACAUCCUCUGAGCUCUAACUGUUGCCUCCUAUGGGAUAUUGAUCACUCAGCAUCCAAGAGCCUUCGUACAACAACCAUUACUAGGUCUAUUCACCAGUUUAGUCUGAAGGGCAAUUAAGAGAGAAUCAAAGGAACCUGCUCUAAACAUAGACUUGCUUGCCUGUAAACUUCACUUUUUUUUGUUGUGUGAUUAUAAAAUUCUGAAGUAUUUCGUCAGAAGAGGAAAAACAUGUAUGAUUUCAUCUACACGAUGUCGUAGUUCAGUUUACUCUGCACCAAGCUAAAAUAUGAGGGAAGAUACAAAGAGCUCAAAUUGAAUGAGACACAGUAUUUAUCCAUGUGGCUUCUUUAUUAAGGAAACAACUUCUGUGAUGGUAAAAAGGCAGGAGGCUGGAAUGCAGAUGGAAAGGGCCCUAAUGUCUGGGACAUAUUCACCCAUCAGGGAGGAGAUCGAGUUUUCAAGAGCCAGACUGGUGAUGUAGCUUGUGGCAGCUACACUCUGUGGGAGGAAGAUUUGAAAUGUAUCAAACAGCUUGGAUUGACUCAUUAUUGCUUUUCUCUUUCCUGGUCACGUCUGUUACCUGAUGGGACGACAGGUUUCAUCAACCAGAAAGGCAAUUGUUUCUUAAAAAUAGAAGGUUGCAGCUUUAAUUCAAGGUUAUUGCUGCAGUCUGGCAUAAUUAAUCCAGUAUGCUAUUCUGCAGUGUAGCUUUGAAAUUGCAACUUUUUUUUCAGAGUAAUUAUGGGAUGAUUUUUUAUAGGUUUGCAACAACUUACUAAUUAAUAUUCUAGAUCCCCUCGGAUAGCACAACCUUUUGGGAUAGGAUUAUUAUUAUGUUUCCUAUGUAUCUUUUUGCUUACUCCAGUUUUUUUAAUUGUAACUCUAAAUCAUUUUGCUUCAUCAGAAUGUUUAUACUUACAGGGACCCUAGCCAUGAGAAUAUUUUUGGAUGGCUUACAAUAGACAAGUUAUCUCAUUUGGCAAGUGCAUUUAGAUAGCUUAUCAGUAUACUCCAAUGUGCUGAACUUCACAUCGACUAUUUUACACUAAGGGACAUACUUUUCCCAGACAUUUUUCUUUAGCAAAUUAGAGAGGAUUCUUCAGACUGAUAGGAACUAUGCUUAGUUCUCUGGCAAACAGAAGCUCUGAAAAGAAGAGUUUUCACAGUCUCAGCAGGCAGAGUACAUGUGUAAAGGGAUACAGCACAUUAAUAAACUGGUCAGUUUGCUAGAAGUCAGAUAUAAAAUUUGUUUCACUUCUGAUUAUUUUAAUUCCAUUGGUGUGGACUGGGGGAGAGCUUAAGGUCACUCAGUAGGAAAAGACAGGAAAGGGAAGUUGUGCCUACAGAACAGAGGGAAUGGAAGAAAGAAGAAAUAAAGAGACUUGUGAAGAAUAAAAGCAACUCUAGCUGAACCAGAAAUGAUGGGAGAGUCAAAGAAGCUUACUGAGAUCUCUUGUAUGCUGGGAGGAUAAUGGUCCAAAGAGAAAGAAAGAGAAGUAUAUUUGAAUGAACUUCUGAACUCAAUUCUGCUUCCUACUCUUCUGCAUCUCAGUUCUACCAAGAAGAACUGCAUCUAUCUUUAUACUUCUAGGGCAGUAUUUGCCUUGGCAGUUCCUUUCUUCUCCUGGUUUGAAGAUUGCAACGAUGGCAGGCUACACAGGAUAGAACAUCUUAGAAAAUACUCUUCAGGUAGUCUUAUCUGUACUAGGAUGGUACCAGCAGAAGCAAUCUUUUUCUGUGAAUUUUGGUCAUGUAGAGCUUGGCUGUUCAGUAGACAGCUGCCUAUC